rnacentral:rRNA from 1 species
AGUGAACGCUGGCGGUAGGCCUAACACAUGCAAGUCGAACGGCAGCACAGUAAGAGCUUGCUCUUACGGGUGGCGAGUGGCGGACGGGUGAGGAAUACAUCGGAAUCUACUUUUUCGUGGGGGAUAACGUAGGGAAACUUACGCUAAUACCGCAUACGACCUACGGGUGAAAGCAGGGGAUCUUCGGACCUUGCGCGAUUGAAUGAGCCGAUGUCGGAUUAGCUAGUUGGCGGGGUAAAGGCCCACCAAGGCGACGAUCCGUAGCUGGUCUGAGAGGAUGAUCCGCCACACUGGAACUGAGACACGGUCCAGACUCCUACGGUAGGCAGCAGUGGGGAAUAUUGGACAAUGGGCGCAAGCCUGAUCCAGCCAUACCGCGUGGGUGAAGAAGGCCUUCGGGUUGUAAAGCCCUUUUGUUGGGAAAGAAAAGCAGCAGGUUAAUACCCCGCUGUUCUGACGGUACCCAAAGAAUAAGCACCGGCUAACUUCGUG